rfam:Myotis brandtii contig225121, whole genome shotgun sequence.
UCUGGGGGAGGGGGGCUCUCAGCCUGGAUUGCGAGAGGACACAGGCCAGGCCGAGGGACCCCCACCGGUGCAGG